rnacentral:rRNA from 1 species
GAUGAACGCUAGCUACAGGCUUAACACAUGCAAGUCGAGGGGUAACGAGAGGAAAGCUUGCUUUCCUUGUCGACGACCGGCGCACGGGUGAGUAACGCGUAUCCAACCUGCCCCCAACUAAGGAAUAACCUUGCGAAAGUAAGACUAAUACCUUAUAAUUUCCUCAGAUGUCAUCUGACGAGGAAUAAAGAUUUAUCGUUUGUGGAUGGGGAUGCGUCUGAUUAGCUUGUUGGCGGGGUAACGGCCAACCAAGGCAACGAUCAGUAGGGGUUCUGAGAGGAAGGUCCCCCACAUUGGAACUGAGACACGGUCCAAACUCCUACGGGAGGCAGCAGUGAGGAAUAUUGGUCAAUGGGCGGAAGCCUGAACCAGCCAAGUAGCGUGCAGGAUGACGGCCCUAUGGGUUGUAAACUGCUUUUAUACAGGAAUAAAGUUAGCCACGUGUGGUUAUUUGUAGGUACUGUAUGAAUAAGGACCGGCUAAUUCCGUGCCAGCAGCAGCCGCCG